CAUGAAGUUGGAAUCGCUAGUAAUCGCGGAUCAGCAUGCCGCGGUGAAUACGUUCCCGGGCCUUGUACACACCGCCCGUCACACCAUGAGAGUCGGGAACACCCGAAGUCCGUAGUCUGACCGCAAGGGGGACGCGGCCGAAGGUGGGUUCGAUAAUUGGGGUGAAGUCGUAACAAGGUACC
rnacentral:rRNA from 1 species